GACGAACCACACAAACGUUAUUCGGAAUUACUGGGCUUAAAGGGUGCGUAGGCGGCGCAGCAAGUCGGGUGUGAAAUCCCUCGGCUCAACCGAGGAACUGCGCCCUAAACUACUGUGCUCGAGGGAGGUAGAGGUGAGCGGAACUUAGGGUGGAGCGGUGAAAUGCGUUGAUAUCCUAAGGAACACCGGUGGCGAAAGCAGCUCACUGGACCUCUUCUGACGCUGAGGCGCGAAAGCUAGGGUAGCGAACAGG
rnacentral:rRNA from 1 species